rnacentral:lncRNA from 1 species
AGGAAACAGAAAGUCUCUGGAAUCUAAAACUGAUUAUGUUGCAGGAUGGCACGGUGUCUACAGGCUUUUUUGCUGCUCCCUGCCGCAAAGAACUGUCCAGAACAACUGAUGGACGGAUUCUCCCUACACAGAUGAAAAUUCUGAAGCUCAAAGAAGCUAUUAAUAAAGAAGGAAAAGAAGAAAAGAGAAAACUUACCUCAGUUCUUUAAGCAGAGAUUCAUACCCAUGUUUGAUUACACCAUGCCUAUGCCUCGUGCCUCCAUGAAAAGAAUUAUCUGGGAUUCAAAAUGAC